rnacentral:lncRNA from 1 species
ACCCCAUAAAAAAUCAAAUAAAUAAUAUAAAAAAAAUAUAGAUAAUUCGAGUCCAACAUCAAAUAAAAUCCCCAAUUAGGCAAAUGCAGCAAGCCCUAAUUACAAAAUCAACGAGUCAAUGACUAAAAUCAAUGAAAUUGAGCACUAAUUAGGUAAUUAUUGUACAAUUCUAGGAAUUUGAAGUGAAAUAAGGUUGUGGAAAUUGCAUUAAUUGGAGAAAAUAAGAACAGAGAACUGGAAACUUACAACUUGAUUGAAGUGACGAGGAUCGACGUCCAUGAUUCGCCGCGUUCUGAAAUCCUACAGUGCGGAAUGAGGCUGAGGAACGGAGGUGGGUGCGGCUGAGGAACGGAGGUGGGUGCGACACAACGAACGAUUGUACGUAUCAGCUGGCGAAUCCGAGUCAGUUCGAAUCACUGGAGAUAGUGAUCAGAUCUCUAUCUGUAGUAUUCACCGUGCCUUUACUUGUCUUCUUUAAAAUGUGGGGAAAACUUG